AUUGAACGCUGGCGGCAGGCCUAACACAUGCAAGUCGAGCGGAUGAAGGGUGCUUGCUCCUGGAUUCAGCGGCGGACGGGUGAGUAAUGCCUAGGAAUCUGCCUGGUUGUGGUGGAUAACGUCCUGAAACGGGCGCUAAUACCGCAUACGUCCUGAGGGAGAAAGUGGGGGAUCUUCGGACCUUCCGCUCUCAGGUGAUCCUAGGUCGGAUUAGUUAGUUGGUGGGUUAAAGGCCUACCAAGGCGACCAUCCGUAACUGGUCUGAGAGGAUGAUAAGUCACACUGGAACUGAGACACGGUCCAGACUCCUACGGGAGGCAGCAGUGGGGAAUAUUGGACAAUGGGCGAAAGCCUGAUCCAGCCAUGCCGAGUGUGUGAAGAAGGUCUUCGGAUUGUAAAGCACUUUAAGUUGGGAGGAAGGGCAGUAAGUUAAUACCUUGCUGUUUUGACGGUACCAACAGAAUAAGCACCGGCUAACUUCGUG
rnacentral:rRNA from 1 species